rnacentral:rRNA from 1 species
CGCGUAGGCGGUUUUUUAAGUCAGAUGUGUAAUCCCCGAGCUUAACUUGGGAACUGCAUCUGAGACUGGAAGGCUAGAGUACUGGAGAGGGUGGUGGAAUUCCUCGUGUAGCGGUGAAAUGCGUAGAGAUGAGGAGGAACACCAGUGGCGAAGGCGGCCACCUGGACAGUAACUGACGCUGAGGCGCGAAAGUGUGGGUAGCAAACAGGAUUAGAUACCCUGGUAGUCCACGCUGUAAACGAUGAACACUUGGUGUGGAGGGAGUUGACCCCUUCCGUGCCGGAGCUAACGCGUUAAGUGUUCCGCCGUGGGGAGUACGGUCGCAAGGCUGAA